rnacentral:rRNA from 1 species
ACGCACGCUGGCGGCGUGCUUAACCCAUGCAAGUCGAACGGAAAGGCCCUGCUUUUGUGGGGUGCUCGAGUGGCGAACGGGUGAGUAACACGUGAGUAACCUGCCCUUGACUUUGGGAUAACUUCAGGAAACUGGGGCUAAUACCGGAUAGGAGCUCCUGCUGCAUGGUGGGGGUUGGAAAGUUUCGGCGGUUGGGGAUGGACUCGCGGCUUAUCAGCUUGUUGGUGGGGUAGUGGCUUACCAAGGCUUUGACGGGUAGCCGGCCUGAGAGGGUGACCGGCCACAUUGGGACUGAGAUACGGCCCAGACUCCUACGGGAGGCAGCAGUGGGGAAUAUUGCACAAUGGGCGGAAGCCUGAUGCAGCAACGCCGCGUGCGGGAUGACGGCCUUCGGGUUGUAAACCGCUUUCGCCUGUGAGGAAGCGUGAGUGACGGUAAUGGGUAAAGAAGCACCGGCUAACUACGUG